UGUUGACUGCUGCACAUCUUUUACCAUCUUAUUCAUCUAUCUGCUUCAUUAAGUUAUUCACAGCUUUUUACAGGUCCUUAUUUAUUUCAGUUCUCAUUAUCUAUAACGACAGAGACUUAGGGCGAGUUCUUUUGCUAGCUUUUUUGGGCUUCUAUUUCCAAGAUUGCGUACUAGAUCAUAUCUAAAUCAACUGUUGCGUACUAGAUCAUACCGGUAGGCAAUAGGCAAGAUGGGAACAGACAACUUGCCGAACUAUCACCCCUCUAUAUCGAUGGGGGGACUUCCCCACAAAAAAAAAACACAUGAUAAUUCAACAUGCAACUUCCAGAAGAUAUGAUUGACCUAAGAUUGUACAAUUAUGACAGACCUUUGCGAUUUGUUUUUUUAUGACAGAAGGCAUCAUCUGCAUCUAGCGACCAUCACGGCAGAAUUUAAUUUAUUAUUAUUUCACUGUGAGGGAGAUGAUAAAGCACAAAUGUCACAACAUAACCACUAGUUAUAUGCAUUGUAUAAAAGRUUAAGRCAGACAUCAUGCUAAUUCACCUGCAAUGCUGCAUCAUCUGUUUAUCUGACACAAGAUCCCACUGGCUUGGUGGAGCCAAUCN
rnacentral:lncRNA from 1 species